CGCCUCUUGACAAAAUAUAAGAGGUCUAGCCUGCCCAGUGACUCUGUUCAACGGCCGCGGUAUCCUAACCGUGCGAAGGUAGCGUAAUCACUUGUUCUUUAAAUGAGGACUAGUAUGAAUGGCAUCACGAAGGUUACACUGUCUCCUUUUUCUAAUCAGUGAAACUAAUCUCCCCGUGAAGAAGCGGGGAUAGACUUAUAAGACGAGAAGACCCUAUGGAGCUUUAAACUAAAUAACACCUGCUUUUAUACACCUUUACUCCAGAGUAGCUAACACUUAUUUUAGCCCCCUGAUUAUUAGUUUUAGGUUGGGGUGACCGCGGAGUAAAAAAUAACCUCCACAUUGAAUGGGGAAAUACCCCUGAGCUGCGAGCUACAACUCUAAGCACCAAUAGAUUGACAUUAAUUGACCCAAUAUAUUGAUCAACGAACCAAGUUACCCUAGGGAUAACAGCGCAAUCCGCUUCAAGAGCUCCUAUCGACAAGCGGGUUUACGACCUCGAUGUUGGAUCAGGGUAUCCCAGUGGUGCAGCCGCUACUAAAGGUUCGUUUGUUCAACGAUUAAAACCCU
rnacentral:rRNA from 1 species